rnacentral:misc_RNA from 1 species
ACAUAUUACCAUGUAGUAUAUCUGAAGCUAUUUAAAGUAGUUAUUUUAUUUUAAAGGACACAAUCAUCAUCAUCAACAAGAAGUAUAGGUUUGGUAUUGUGAUUGCUGUCACAAAAUUUGUCAACCUAAUGAUUAUCCCCUUUUCACCUUAUAUUUUAUUGUUAUCAACAUUUGCCUGAAAAUUCACAUGCAUUAACCAGAAAAUUUAGAUCUUUGUCAUUUUUCUAAUGCGCAUCAUUAAAAUCAUGCACAAAAUAGUCUUGCCCUUUUGUAUUAUCUCUGCAUUGAUAAUCCCAACAAAAUCUUGCUCGAGUCUGCAUGCUUGUGAGCUUGUCCCUUCCUGCUAGACCACAAAAAAUGCUAGUAAAUAUUAUCUGGUAUUUGAGUUUGCUAGAUGAUAAUUCUUCCAACCAUAAUCUUUCUUUUGAAUUCCAAGAGUCACAAAAAUGUCUACAGAUGGUUUGGUGGAUAUUAAUAUUCAAUUGAUUUUUGUUCUGCUGCUUUGGCCUAAUAUUGCUUAAAGGGUUUUGUUGGGUGUUA